GUUAUUAAGAAAUUGCACUCUUACUAAUAGAUUUUAGUGGCUAUGCUUAUGGGAUAAAUAAAAAUUGCCAUGAUCUGAAAAGGGAGGAUUGUGUGUGUGUGUGUGUGUGUCCUCCUCCUAUGUGAAAUGACUGGACAGAAAACU
rnacentral:snoRNA from 1 species